GAAAUUGCUGGCACGUUAGUUGCAGUCUACCUCCACCAACAGGGUGGAAAACAAAGGUCGCCAUUCCGAUUAGCUGCUAUCUCCCAGUUCAAGCACUUUUGCUGUCUGGACACUGGUUCCUGUGGAUGGGCUGUUACAAGCUUCACUGUCUGAUAUAGAAGUGAUGAGCAUCCAUAAGGACAC